ACGAACGCUGGCGGCGUGCCUAAUACAUGCAAGUAGAACGCUGAAGAGAGGAGCUUGCUCUUCUUGGAUGAGUUGCGAACGGGUGAGUAACGCGUAGGUAACCUGCCUUGUAGCGGGGGAUAACUAUUGGAAACGAUAGCUAAUACCGCAUAACAAUGGAUGACACAUGUCAUUUAUUUGAAAGGGGCAAUUGCUCCACUACAAGAUGGACCUGCGUUGUAUUAGCUAGUAGGUGAGGUAACGGCUCACCUAGGCGACGAUACAUAGCCGACCUGAGAGGGUGAUCGGCCACACUGGGACUGAGACACGGCCCAGACUCCUACGGGAGGCAGCAGUAGGGAAUCUUCGGCAAUGGGGGCAACCCUGACCGAGCAACGCCGCGUGAGUGAAGAAGGUUUUCGGAUCGUAAAGCUCUGUUGUAAGUCAAGAACGAGUGUGAGAGUGGAAAGUUCACACUGUGACGGUAGCUUACCAGAAAGGGACGGCUAACUACGUGCCAGCAGCCGCGGUAAUACGUAGGUCCCGAGCGUUGUCCGGAUUUAUUGGGCGUAAAGCGAGCGCAGGCGGUUUGAUAAGUCUGAAGUUAAAGGCUGUGGCUCAACCAUAGUUCGCUUUGGAAACUGUCAAACUUGAGUGCAGAAGGGGAGAGUGGAAUUCCAUGUGUAGCGGUGAAAUGCGUAGAUAUAUGGAGGAACACCGGUGGCGAAAGCGGCUCUCUGGUCUGUAACUGACGCUGAGGCUCGAAAGCGUGGGGAGCGAACAGGAUUAGAUACCCUGGUAGUCCACGCCGUAAACGAUGAGUGCUAGGUGUUGGAUCCUUUCCGGGAUUCAGUGCCGCAGCUAACGCAUUAAGCACUCCGCCUGGGGAGUACGACCGCAAGGUUGAAACUCAAAGGAAUUGACGGGGGCCCGCACAAGCGGUGGAGCAUGUGGUUUAAUUCGAAGCAACGCGAAGAACCUUACCAAGUCUUGACAUCCCUUGACGAACAUAGAAAUAUGUUUUCUCUUCGGAGCAAGGAGACAGGUGGUGCAUGGUUGUCGUCAGCUCGUGUCGUGAGAUGUUGGGUUAAGUCCCGCAACGAGCGCAACCCCUAUUGUUAGUUGCCAUCAUUCAGUUGGGCACUCUAGCGAGACUGCCGGUAAUAAACCGGAGGAAGGUGGGGAUGACGUCAAAUCAUCAUGCCCCUUAUGACCUGGGCUACACACGUGCUACAAUGGUUGGUACAACGAGUUGCGAGUCGGUGACGGCAAGCUAAUCUCUUAAAGCCAAUCUCAGUUCGGAUUGUAGGCUGCAACUCGCCUACAUGAAGUCGGAAUCGCUAGUAAUCGCGGAUCAGCACGCCGCGGUGAAUACGUUCCCGGGCCUUGUACACACCGCCCGUCACACCACGAGAGUUUGUAACACCCGAAGUCGGUGAGGUAACCUUUUGGAGCCAGCCGCCUAAGGUGGGAUAGAUGAUUGGGGUG
rnacentral:rRNA from 1 species